CAGAGCAGUCGUGGCCAGAUAGAGUUCUCCACGGGCUCAGAGAAGAUGGAUGAAGCACAAACUAGAGGCUCUUCCCUAUCACUGACGUCUCCAAAUCUUAACUAGACAGAGAAAAGAAAAAUUGCUUUCUUGGCAUGUACCUAUUUAAACACCUUGGCACAAACCCCAAUUCAGAAAGCCUACAGAGCCAAUCCACAUGUAUCCCAUGAAGGGAACAUUUCCCCCUUCAAACCUAUCUGAUGAGUAAAAGCAAUGGAACCAGUCCAAACACUGGAGGUUUGACCCGUGAGCUCCAGAGCCUUCUGCAGGCUGGUAAUGGCUGUUUACAAAAGCAUUUUACAACAGUGAAUUGUUACUCUGGAGAACUGCCUGGAGUUGUGAACCAGCCCUGGGAGAAGCUUACAAGGGAGAAAGCAGCUGAGAAGUGAUGUUACCUGAUUCUGAAGAUCUUCUAUUUCUUUGUAAUAGCAGCUGUAGUCCCGGGGCUCACAAAAAGGGCCCUGCUUGGCAUACCACUCCCUGAUUCUGCACUCCAGGUCCGCGUUUUCUUGUUCCAGGCAUCUCACCUUGUCCAGGUAAGAAGCCAGGCGGUCAUUAAGGUUCUGCAUGGUGACCUUUUCGUCACCAGAAAGAAGAAUGCCAUCACCAGCAAAACCACCUCCAACUACCCCUCCACCAAGACCCAUACCAAUGCCACCUCCCAUGCCACCGCCAAAGCGAGCGCUGCCACCGCUGAAUCCCAUGCCUGGACAUCCUCCGAGGACAGCGGCUCCUAAGCCACCUCCGAAGUUUCCACCAACCAAACUGCCGGUGCUCAGUCCUCCUCCAUAAUUCACACCACCACAGUAGCUUCUACCAGAAAACCCUCGGCCACCACCUAUCCCACAAGUGGUGUAUCUUCCAGAAGAGACUGAGGAGAUCCGUGCUCCUCCACCACCACCACCGCCACCAAUCACACAGCUGCCCCCGCUGGUCCUGCCCCUGAGAGAGCCAGUUGUCUGCUUAAUACUACAACUCAUUUUGAGGACAGCUGCAGCUCCAACCCAAAGCCCAAAGCAAGAUGCACAGCUUGAUAUUGAAUCAGACUGCAGGUUGGUUGUUGCCGCAGAUCUCUAUUUAUACCUUCCAAAGGGGGUGUCACCUAAAGGGUGUUUCUUCUUCCCACGGGGCUGGCUAGUCUUGCUGUUUAUGCCAAGAAUAAAUAGCCCAUAGGCAGUUUCCCUCUAGAAAUCCCAGUUCACAAGGAAGAUACUUUACAUGUCAGCAGCUUAUUCCAAAAAGUAAAAUAAUGUUUUAUGAGUCAUCAGCUUUUUGUAUGAUGCAAACUUUACAACAAGUCAAGAAAAAAAGUUGCCCUAGAUUAUGUACAAAGCAGAAACAUGGUAUUUAUAACAUCAAAGUGCCUUUUAUCUCUAUUAAUUUGUAUUUAUUUUAUUCUUAGUCCAAUAAACAGUUUUGUAGCCUGUGCUAUGCUAGACUACAUGGAACAAAAAUGGGAAAUUAUAAAUUCUCACUUCUGAAAAGUGUAACAGUGACAGCAGCAGUGAAAAGACCAGGGAUCCCAUGGUGCAGGUGUCUGUCACCUGGCACAAGGACACACAGGUCUAACACAGGCUCCACUGUGAGACUUCUUAAAUCUCAGAGGAAAUUCCCCCGUGGGUUUAGUUCUCUGGUUGUGCAAACCCAAAAAGUCAACUUGCUCACAGUGUGUGGAGCUCAGGCCUGCUGAGUGUUGGAAGUCCUUGUUCCUGGAUGUGCAUGAAGUACCUCUCUGAAGUUAGUUUUCAGUUCCUUUAAUUGCUGUCCAUGCUGCCUCAGACUGUGAUGAUUGUAGAUAAAGAGAUGACAGGACAGGGAGUAUCCAUGGGCGAUAUAUCCAGUUCCCAGCCUGGACUGGGAUGUGAGCCCACAGGUCUUUGCAUCGCCAAGAUGGUGCUGAGCACAAUAUAAGGAGCAAAGCUUUCUGCCUUUCUGAUCUGAGUGCAGCAGCAGGAUUGGCACAGCUUGGCUGGUCAUGGGAAAACCAUCUCCAAAACCAGGCAGCGGCCAGAGGAGCAUUCAGAGAACAGGCUCCACCAGUGCGAGUAUCUUUCCCCUCGUUACUGCUGUAACAAGAGGAUAUUCUGCUCUCCAGGGAAUGGAGGCUUCUCUUCCCCACGGGCUGGAAUUUUCAAGCAACUCUUACUCACAAGUGACCUUUGACUCAAGUACGUCCAUAUACAGGAGCAGUUGUGAUAAAUCCUCUGUGAGUGUGACCUGACGGGGAGCCCUGAGUGCAGCCGUUACCUCCCAGGAGGGGCAGAGGAAAUCUCUGCUCACACCUCAGCCCCCUCUCCUUUCCCAGCGGGAAGCUGGGUGGCUCCUGUCACCAUGAGAGGACAGUGUCCCCAAGCAUAUACAAAUGUGAUCAUCUUCUCACCAGCUCAAGUGAGGACUCUCCACUCUCCGGUGAGAUUAUUUCUUUCUUGGCUUAGAUCAGAAAUGAUAAAAAGGCGCCUACCCAAGGCUGGCAGCACCUUGGAAUAUUCAUGAUUCUGAUGGUGUAGGGAAAUAACUUGCUCAAGGACAGAGCUGGAGUCUGGCAGAGCUCAGAUCCUGGCUGAGACUGCAAUGCCUGAAAUACAAGUCCAUCCUCCCCCUGCAAACACAUCCCCACACAGCCGAGACUCGCCACGGUGAAAAUCAGGAGCAGAAGGAGAAUGGGGAAUAAAUCUGGCUUUCAUCUGUCUUUUUGAGGAAUAUAAUUGGAGACAGGGUGUGUCUGUAAGAGCCAACAGAAAUUAAUAUAAUGUCUGGAUUGCUUGGAGCUUUGCUCUGCUGUGGAGGCUUUCACAAGUUACCUAAUAGCAACCUACAGCGAGCACUGCUCACUGACUCUCCUUUUAGAGUCAGGUUUAGGAUGGGAUAUUGCAGAUGUCGGAUGAUCUCUCCAGGUGGGCAAGGAACACCUCCACCUCCUUGUUUCAGCAGUUCCAAAGCAAGAAGGAAUAAGUCUUGCUCCACAACCAAAGUGGUUUGCAGCAUCCUACAACUUUCUACGUACCUCCUGGUGGAAAGGUCCACAGGCUGCAAAUACACAAUUCUUCUGAAGUACUCGUGUUUGGGAUAUAAUGACAGCCUUUGGAGUUUUACUGGGCUCCUGCCAGUUUCACUGGGACGUGGCACAUCCAGAAGCCAGGCCCAGACUGUAGUUUCGAACCAAUAAGGGUUACCUUGCCCUGGCUGCAUGGCUGCAGCUCUGUCUGCUCAAGCACUUGGGAUAUUGCCUUGCUCCAUAUGACCACAGCCUGGGCAGAGGUGUGUGUGUGUGUCUUCUGACUGGGGGGUUCUGCUUUCUGUAGCUGUGAGACACCAUCUUGUCCUGUUCCAUCAGCACUGGCUGUGCUCCCCACUAAACUGAUUUCUUUGCCUCCACUUUUGUAACCAUUUGUAUUCCCAUAGCUCAGGGGCACAGCCUUGGGGCAGAGCUCUGUGUAGGAAAGGACUGUGCAAGCUGAAGACAGAAAAAUGUCCCCAAAGGAUUUGCAACCUAAAUGUCAGAGAGGAGGAAACAAACGGUUUCAUACAGAUGGAAGUAAAGGAAGUGGUGUCAGGCUGUUAUCCAGGCCGAGCAGCAGUGGUCUGUGUCACACAAACACUGUGAAGUCUUGUGGGCAUUAUGGAGAAGAGGGAUCUGGAAGUGGAGCAAGAGGUACCAAGUGUGAAUAUGGACACAUGGCGAUGGGCAGCUCAGGAGGAGACAGGAGGAGACUCUGUGGGCAGUGGAGUUGGGUCCUGUGGGAGCUGCAACUGUCCCUGUGCCCAGCCUGGGUGCAGAGCAUCAACUCUCCCACUCUGCUCGCUUCUCUUAUCAAGGUUGAUAAUGUUUUCUUGUGUCAACUACAAGAAAGGUGUGUCUAAUUUGACAGAGCUUUGCUUUCAUAAGCAUUGCUUCGGUGAUGUUUGUGCAACCACACUGGAAUAUGAUUUUAUCUUGUCACUUGUAAUUACUAUUAAUAAUUUGCAUAAUAGCCAUUGGGCAUCACUUAUUAAACACUGCUUUGAUGUGAUACUGAACUGGCUCCAGACCUCAUGCUCCCAUCUUUCAAAUGCAGACCAUGACUUUUUUCUGGCCAGUGACUCAUUGGUUUAUACCACCAUGGUUAGCAAACUCCUGUAAGGCAAGAGAAGUAAUUAUCACAAUGGGUUUGGUAACAGCAUGAUCCCAGCUCUUAAAUACGCCUCAGAGACCAAGGUGAUGACUCUGUUUCAGCUUCUUGCUGACUGUUCACAUCUUCACACUACCUCUGAGCAUUUGCUAGUGGUGAAGUAGAAGUUCAGCAGAACAUGCAGGUGGACAGAACCAGAUUUCUUCCUACUGAAGCUCACAAUGUUCCCUGAUUCAUUUUGUGAAGGGUUUUCAUUUCCUUCCAGCACCUACCAGAUGAUACCAGUGUAGCCAGACUUCCCUCAUUUGCAUCCCUGGAAGCGCUGCUGAUUAUCAUGGCAAAGAAGAGUACCAGGGAAUUUGUACUGGGACAGAUUUGAAUACUGAUGGAAGAACCUAAACUCCAGCAGUUCCCCUCCUGCAGGGGCAGCUCAGUGCAGUGAAGCUCAGGAGGAGAAAUGGCUUCAGCCCAUGGUCCCUGCACCAGAGCCACGGGGGUCAAACCAGGAGCUGCCAAGAGAAUGGGAACAUUCAGGUGCCUCCUGCACCCAGACACUACAGAGGGGCAGCAGAGACAGGCAGCCAGGACAGCAGCCAGCCACAGCCUCCCCAGGCUGGCUUCAUCUUUAUCUCGUACUUGUACUAAAACGUCUCUAAAUUUCAAUAUACUUUCAACGUAAGGCUCAUAGUGGCAGUUUAAAUUACAUUAUUCAGGGUACUGAGCUGAGAAAUCUGCAUGGUUACAGCAGUAGUUUACUCCUCUAUAUAGUUUUUAUGAAUGUUACACAAGCCAGUAAAAAAUGUAAACCCCACAGACAGUUACUGUGGGUGUGAGACUGUAUCUGUCUAUAUACUUUAUAUAGUAGACUUUAUAGAGAAAUUAUAGUUUAUACGCCACAGCAGAGUACUAUCAUCAGCUCUAACUGCUUGUACAGCACAGCCCUGAACUCACAGCUCAUUUCCAGCACUGGCAUUUUGCAGAACUGGUUGGUUUCUUUCUGUUUCUUUUCUGUCUUCAUCCUUUAGGGUAUGUUCAGUCCUAAGGGACCUUUUCUGAUGGUGCUGUACUUCCCAUGUGUCUUCCCCAUACCACAGUCUGUAUCUGCCUGAGCAAUCACAAGCUGUGUUUCAUCUGCAGCCCUGGCUGUGAUGCUGAGAGCUUCUGCCAUUAGCCCAAGUGCUGAAAGAACUCCCCUUUGAGAUCCUCAUUUGCUCUUGCUGCACAAGAUUUGCACAUUAAAAGAGAAGAGAA